ensembl:snRNA U6 U6 spliceosomal RNA
GUGCUUGCGUCGGCAGCACAUAUACUAGAAUGGGAACAAUACAGAGACGAUUAGCAUGGCCCCUGUGCAAGGAUGAUAUGCAAAUUCAUGAAGUGUUGCAUAUUUUU